UGAGACCCCUGAGAACUGGCAUGCCUAGGAGCAGGACAACCAAAGGACUUUUGCCCACAGAGCUGUGGCAGCUUCACGAAUGCAAGGGAGUUUUUCCUGUGUGGAAGGUCCACUGAAACACAGAAUACUUCUGCAGCACAGUCUGCCAAAGCUGAUUAUGAAAGAGGCAAUUUGGAACAUGGAGCCUCAAGCUGGACUUUAGAAAACAAGAGGCACCUGGGAAAUGAUGUGCAACUUACAGAGACUCUAAAUACGCUCUGGCAAAACCAAAAUUCCCCUAAGGACCUCAGUCAGCCAAGGGUGAAGCAGUGACCUUGGACACAUGUUUACCCUUCUUGGAUCUGAUCUCCAUAAUGCAUCUGCUAUUAUAGCUAAGGGAUACCAUCAGUACACUCGCUUCCUUUUGCAUCCUGGUUUUUGCUCCAAUUCCUGAAUGCAGUUUUAAGUCACUCUGAAACAUACCAUAAGUAGGGGGCUAUGUCUAGCUACUGUGUGUCCCACACACUGUCUGGAGAAGUUCAGGUUUGGGCUGGCUUGGAGAGAAUCCUGUGGUUACUUGUGUCAUAUAGGGUAGAGAGACCCUUCCAAUUUUAUUUGUAGACGAACCCUGCCACACUACCCAAAAGAUGUCAAUGCCAUGGGUGCAAUAACUUUUUAAUGAAUUCACUUGAAAUGAGGGUGUCUUCCUUGAAAUCUCAAGCAACAAGUCUGAAACUGAAAUUCUGACAGCCCAACCAAGGUUUGCUUCUUGUUAUCUUUGAUUAAGAAGCAAGCAAGAUCAAAGAUAUUUGCUCGGUCCGUGUACUCUCCAGGGACUGCAGAUGGACCAACCAUGGGUGAAUAGGACUCUUCCUGUCAAGGGGACCUCACAGCAGUAGCUGUGCUCACAACUCCAUUCCCCACAGUAGCUGGGGUCUUGUUCAGACUGGCUGCAGGGGAGAGGCAUUCCAGGGCAGGAGAGCUGAGCUGGGCGAGUACAAUGCAUGCCCACCGAUCCCAACCUGCAAAACACUCCCCAGGGAUCAUGCUAGCCCAGGCAAGUGAGAACAGAUAAGUCUGUACAAAAAGCAUGCCAGAAAAACUAUCAGUGUAGCCAGCUUUAUUCAAAAUGUUUGCAAAGCUUAGCAAUUCAAUUCUCAUUUAAAUAAAAGGAAAAACGAG